AAGGCUUUAGCUUAAUUAAAGUAUCUGGGUUGCAUUCAGGUGAUAUGAGUUAGUGUCUCAUAGGUCUUA
rnacentral:tRNA from 1 species